GCGGAUGUGGCGGAAUUGGCAGACGCGCUAGACUAAGGAUCUAGUGGUUACUAUACGACCUUGCGGGUUCAAGUCCCGCCGUCCGCA
rnacentral:tRNA from 1 species